CGUACGAUCACCGAAAUUAAGCAACGUUGAGCGUGGUGAGUACGUAGUUGGGUGACCGCUUGGGAAUACCUGAUGCUGUAAG